rnacentral:tRNA from 1 species
GUCUCCUUCGUCUAGCGGUUAGGACAUCGCCCUCUCACGGCGGCAACAUGGGUUCGAUUCCCAUAGGAGACGCCA